UACGUAGGGUGCGAGCGUUAAUCGGAUUUACUGGGCGUAAAGCGUGCGCAGGCGGCCCGUUAAGACAGGUGUGAAAUCCCUGGGCUCAACCUAGGAAUUGCGCUUGUGACUGGCGGGCUCGAGUACGGUAGAGGGGGGUGGAAUUCCUGGUGUAGCAGUGAAAUGCGUAGAGAUCAGGAGGAACACCGAUGGCGAAGGCAGCCCCCUGGGCCUGUACUGACGCUCAAGCACGAAAGCGUGGGGAGCAAACAGG
rnacentral:rRNA from 1 species